AACGAACGCUGGCGGCAUGCCUAACACAUGCAAGUCGAACGAGACCUUCGGGUCUAGUGGCGCACGGGUGCGUAACGCGUGGUAACCUGCCCUUAGGUUCGGAAUAACUCCCCGAAAGGGGUGCUAAUACCGGAUAAUGUCUUCGGACCAAAGAUUUAUCGCCUUUGGAUGGGCCCGCGUUGGAUUAGCUAGUUGGUAGGGUAAAAGCCUACCAAGGCGACGAUCCAUAGCUGGUCUGAGAGGAUGAUCAGCCACACUGGGACUGAGACACGGCCCAGACUCCUACGCGAGGCAGCAGUGGGGAAUAUUGGACAAUGGGCGAAAGCCUGAUCCAGCAAUGCCGCGUGAGUGAUGAAGGCCUUAGGGUUGUAAAGCUCUUUUACCCGGGAUGAUAAUGACAGUACCGGGAGAAUAAGCGCCGGCUAACUCCGUG
rnacentral:rRNA from 1 species